GGCCACACCUGUGGCAUAUGGAAGUUCCCAGGCUAGGGGUCUAAUCAGAGCUACAGCUGCUGGCCUAUACCACAGCCACAGCAACGUGGGAUCCGAGCCUUGUCUGCAACCUACACUACAUCUCACAGCAACACCGGAUCCUUAACCCACUGAGCAAGGCCAGGGAUCAAACCCGCAUCCUCAUGCAUACUAGUCAGGUUCGUUAACCGCCGAGCCACAGUGAGAACUCCCCCUUUAAGAGCUGCUUAAUUCACUCAGCCGUGAGCCUAAUGCAUUAAUAUUAUCAUGCACUAAUGGUUUCAAUUUUUAAUUGUUAUAAACAUACUGCACCAAACUUUCUCCAUAAAUGAGGUUUUUCCAUAGGAGUUUUUUUUCCUUAGCUGAGGACUUUCUGGGUUAAAAAGUAAGGAUAUUUCAGGCUCCUGAUCUAUCUAGACACCCUAUUCUAAUGCAUGUUCAUUUCUCUACCCUAUUGUUACAAAGAACGAUGACAUAUUGUAGGGACUUGUGAAUGUUUGAUGGUUGAAACGGUGAUUGAAAAGCUAGCCUCCUCUAUCUGGCCAUGUCUGUAGCCCAGGCUUUCCCAGUUCCAUUCUGUCCAUCUGGGUCUGGAUCAAACAUGGCUCAGGCUAUUCAAGGCUCUGUGACAUCAUUAGAUAUGUCACGGUCAAAACACCUGUCAAGAACAUUAGAAAUGUCUCCUCUGAGGAAGGGGAACAGUCCAGAGAUAGAUCUGUUCUUGAUAGAAAGAACCAGCUGAGCUUGAUCCCCUGGUGACAACAACUCCUGGAUUCUCUGCUUUGGGGUUAAUCAUUUCCUUAGAAGCAACAUGAUGUCAUGGUGCUUUUCACCCAGGGUUGGGUUUUCAGUGUGACUGGUGUGCUCAGGGUGCUGUGGCUUCACCCACAGAUGUCACGCUACUUGGUCAGAAGAGCUGUAGCCGAGCAUCAGAUCUGCUCUGUGGGAGGAGCUGUCAAUCUGUAGAUCUUUCCAUGGACCUAGAGUUCUGACACUAACAUCAUCUCGCCUCCUGUCAAAACGUUUCCACCCAAAUCAGCCCCAACAAGUGAGCAAUUGAGCUCUUCGUGGAUGCCCUGAACGUGAGUGACCACAUGGACCCCAGCAGGUGCUCAUACUGUGACACCAUGCAACAACAUCCUUUCUGGCCAUUCCUGGCUUCCAGCUCUUCAUGCUCCAGAGGGGCCCUGAAAUGGACAAGGAUGUGGUUGGGACCCCAGAAGGAUGUAGGCAGCAGCAAGCACCUAGUCUUAUCUAGCCUUUCCCCUCUGCUUGUCCAUCUCUGAUGAGUUCCCCGUGGCUGCCCCUGUUGACCAUCUUCCCACCACAGCCCUCAGCCCACAAGUCUUGUCUUAUUGCAAGACUCUCAACCCUCAUCCUUUUCUCCUUUCAGCAUUGUUUCCCAAUGUUCUGGACGGACGUGUAAGCCAUAUCAUAUAGCCCUGUGGUUGAGAUUGCCUACAUGGAAGCAAAAAACUUCACAGAUGGUUUCAAAACGUUCUUUUUGUGUGUGCAAUUUUUAUAUAUUAUUAUUCUUUUCUUUAUAGGGCCGCACCUGGAGCAUAUGGAAGCUCCUGGGACUAGGAAUUGAAUUGCAGCUGCAGCCACAGCCACAACAAUGCAGGAUCUGAGCUGUACCUGCAACCUACGCCACAGCUUUCGACAAUGCCAGAUCCUUAACCCAUUGAGCGAGGCCAGGAUCGAACCCACAUCCUCACAGACACUAUGCCGGUUCUUAACCUACUGAGCCACAACAGGAACUCCUCACAAUGCUCUGAGCUAUUUCCCAAGACAUUCUAUCUAUCCUAGUGUCAGGAUCUCUGAGGCAGAAGAGGACUAGGACCUAUUUUCAGUUAGGUAAAUUGAGAUCUAAUGCAAUCAUUAGCAAGAUGCACAUGUCAGGUCCAGAUGGCUCCUAGGUUGAGCCAAUGGCAGAUGCCCUCAGUUCUCCCAAGGAGCCCCACCCUUUGGGUGCUGUCCAGAAGGUGGUGUCUUGCUGGGAAAUGUCUCUGUGGACCAGAGCAAGUUCCCCGAAAAGAGAGGCACCAAAGGGUCACUCUUCCAAUAGCUACAUUUCCUUAAGAUGGAGCUAGGGACUGAGAACAUGACAGAGGCAGAAAUUCAAAACACAAAUUCCAGGUACAGAAGAAACGCUCGUUCCCUUGGUUGUCUUGUGCCCUACCCUGUAGUCCGGAGCACUGACAGCUCCAUCAAUUUCUUGCUGGCCCCUUCCCAGGGUGAAAAAGAUUGACAUAGCGUUUCUUGGGUCCUGGAUUGUCACUUCCUCAUGGUGAAGGCAGAUACCUCACUGCCCACUGCUUCUCUUCUUUCUCUCCAGAUCCGGCACAGAUUUGCUGGUGAUCAUGGUGAGAUGCACAGGCAGUGGUGCCACUCUGAUGUAAUGUCAGUAUCACUCCCUCUUUCUUAGAGACAGGUGGGGCUCGAGGAGAAGCGACAAUCCAGGGAACAUGGGGCGAGGAGCAGAUAGGCACAGGUAGUCAGUUUAUUUUUUAUGUUUUUCCUCUUCUUGGGAUUCCUUUUUGCAUCUUCCUUGUUAAUAUUUAAUAUUAAAAAUGAAGGGUUUUCAUGCAUCCUCUUGUUUAAGAAGAUGGCCAUAAGCUCUUAAACAUUAGCCAUUAUGUCCAUUGGUGGACUGACUUUAUCAUUUCAACCCUGUAAAGUAUGUAGUGUGGUGUUAAUUAUUCACUCACAGAUAAGCUGCACCAAACAACACCAUCCUUAACAUCUUCCCCAUUUUUGAGUUCAUUUCCAUGGGGUAGAAUCUGAGAAGCAGAAUUACUAGUUCAAAGUGUAUGGUCAUUUUUAAGGUUACGGACCCUCAUCCAGCAUUAAAUCCAGACUUCACUGUAGGUCUAUGAUGGGUAUUUGACAAAUUGACCAAUGACCUGAAAUCUAAUCCUUACUUUCACCAUUCUUAUACCUCCAAGCUUUCCAAUUCCAUACUUUCCAUCUAGGGUGUGGUUAAGACUUUGUGGUGUUUUUACACAUGUCACAUUGAUACACUUGGGGCCAUUGUGGGCGUCCCUCAGAGCAUUCUGCUCUACAGAAAAAAGCUGUGCCCACUCACUUCAGGGACACAUCUGUCAUGUGGAGCAGAAAAAGCUAAGCACUAUCCCUGGUCCCCCAUCUGGAGAAACAACUUCCUCGUAAGCACCCAAGUAAAUUGGCAAUUGAAUUGCUCUGUGCAUUGGCAUUGCUCUGUGCGCGCGGAGCCUCUGUGAUAACCCUACGCAACCCUGGGUUGUAGAACUCAUAUGACAGCACUGCACUUAAAAUUCCUCCCUUAGCCACCUCCGGUUUUCAUGUUCCUGCAGCCCAGGGCCGUCUAUAAAAAGGAGUGAAGAUAGAUAGCUCAGAUGCCAGAAGGAGGCUGGCAGGAGUCAGUUCCCAAGCCCCACCGCAGCUCUGCCCACGCCCUUCUGCCUGCCUGUCGAGCAUCAGGAAGGUCCUCGUAGCUACGUCUCUGCCUCCUCUGCACCACAGCCCUCUGCUCCUCUGCCCAAGAAAAGAUUCAUGCACUCCCCAAACUGCUGCUUCACCUACACCUCCCGGAAGAUCCCCUACCGAUAUGCGGUCGCCUUUUUUAAGACCAGCGGCCAGUGCCCCACACCAGCUAUCAUGGGCCAGGGAGGACAUGGCCAGAAGCAGAGGGGAGCGAGGAGAACAAGAGACAGCAGAGAGGCAGCGGCCUGAGGUUACCUCCAUCAACCCCGUAACAACGAAGGUCAAGAGGCCACAGGAGGUUAAGAACGUCCUUACUUAAUCUCUAUACAAUCCUCUGCCCUCUCCACAGCUUACUCAGCAGAAAGGGCCUGCAUGUCUGUGCCAAUCCCACCCACAUCUUCUCCAGGUCCCUGAUUUACUCAGGGACCUGGAGAAGAACCCUUGAGUGGUCCAGAAGGAAGCUGUCAAAGCUGUGGGUACACCAGGCAGCAGGGACCUGAACCAGGGGACCGUCCCUGCAACCCCAGAAGUUCCCUCUCCCUUCCACUAACCAAGUGUGGAAAACUUUCUUUAGUUAAGCUGUUUAAAUACUGUAGGUCAUGUUAUUCGUUUGAUGCUAUCUCCAAGAAAUCACCUGACAUACCCUUACUCCCAAGCCCUUUCCCAGUUGACCAUAUAAGGGGUGACUCAUGGUUAGGAUGAUGGCAAAUGAUGGUACUCCUGUCUCUGGGUAGACACUGGACCAAAUCUAUCCACAGAUGCUUACUGAGUUUUGAAGAGCCCUUUACUCUGCUAAAAAUGUCAGAAUAAUAAAGAUUCUUGUUGUUUUUUAAGUAAA